rnacentral:rRNA from 1 species
UACGUAGGUGACAAGCGUUGUCCGGAUUUACUGGGCGUAAAGAGCGCGCAGGCGGUCGUUCAAGUCGAGUGUGAAAGCCCCCGGCUCAACUGGGGAGGGUCACUCGAUACUGAUCGACUCGAAGGCAGGAGAGGGAAGUGGAAUUCCCGGUGUAGUGGUGAAAUGCGUAGAUAUCGGGAGGAACACCAGUGGCGAAGGCGACUUCCUGGCCUGUUCUUGACGCUGAGGCGCGGAAAGCUAGGGGAGCAAACGGGG